rnacentral:lncRNA from 1 species
UGCCCUUUGCCAAAAAAAAGAAAGGAAAAGAUUCUUAAUCCCAAACCGCGAGCGUCUACCCUUUGGUCUAACGCACGCCCAGCGACGAACUCGCCCCUAGCGAGCUGCCGCAGCUUGCCGGGCCCCCAGCCCCGAGGCCGGGCGAUCCCGCCUCCUAACGGACCUGCCUUCCGUUUGCAGGCGUCCGCACAGCCUAGAGCAACCCUCCGCGGAGCCAGCCGCCUCCUGCUCCAGCGGGCGGGUGUCUACCUGCAGCCUCUGCCCUAGCCCUAGCGCCUACCCCAGCUCCUUGGAACCCUCUGUCCAGUGCAGACGAAUCCCAGGGCCUCCGUCAGCCCCGAGCAUUAAGCGCCUUUCGGGCAACUUGAGAAGAGGGGGGGUGGGCGGGUAAAAGAAGGAAGAAAAAAAAGAGGCUGAAUAAGGAACGGGAGAGGGUAAAUUAGAGAGAGAAGGGGGAAAGAGAGGCUUCAAUCCCCACCAACCAACAUCCAAACUUUCGGAGGAUGGGAGUAGAGGAAGAGUCAUUCCGAUUGAGGUGAAGGGGCAUGGGGCAAGCGGGGAUCCCGGGCAGUACCCGCGCGGUUGUGGAGCUGACAGCUUCCCCAAGCCACCAGAAUGCCCCAAGCUCACGGUGAAGGCAGAUAGCGAAAAGACAGGAAAAAGGAGAGAAAACUGCUCGGCCAAACGUGGAUAAUCUGCCACUUAAUCCAAAAGUUAAAUCCCGAAAAAUCAUCCCCCCCCAAAAAAAAAAAGUGGAAAAUCAGGUCCCUUAGUGCCCCUUCCCUCCCUCGGCAGAGAAAAUCCUUGAGCCAAGUAAAGGGGGAAAAGGGAUAGAAAAGGGGGGCAGAGCGGAAGAGAUGGUCGGGAUGAGGGGAUGUGUGCGAGAGCAAGCAAGAGCAAGCGAGCUAGGGGCAGAGAGGGAGAGAGGCGGAGAGGGAGAGGGAGAGAGAGGGAGCGAAAUAUCAAAGAUUGUGCAAGAUCAGGCUGGAAAGAUAAUCGAUACUCGACCUAAAUUUAACACAAACUACUCAAUAAAAGUUAAAGAAAAAACUUACUUUCCAUUUCCCCUGCAGUUCCUACUCGAUCUUCGCCUCUUUUUUGUUUUGCUUUUAUUUUACUUACAGCUGAUCACAUCCAAGUAAAACGAGAGGGU